rnacentral:lncRNA from 1 species
GACACUGGUCCUCGGGGGUCACAGUCACGUUGACAAACCUGGGAAAACGGGAGAGACGCCCCCCACUGCGCUGGCUCCCCCAGCCGGCCACCUGGCAUCUGGUUCUGCUGGGGGUCGUAGCCAUUCUCGCUCAUGCUGCUGAUGGAAAACGUCUGGCGGGACUGCCUCUCCCGCCGCCUCAGGUCAUAGGCACCCAGCACCACGGUGCUAACCCCGGGGUUCCUGAGAGUAGCGGAGGAAAGGGCAGAGGGAGGACACCAGGCUGGGGCCUGGGCACAGAGCAAGCCGGCUUGCAAAUUAGGGGGGAUCCCAGCCUGCAGACUGCAAUCCUUCACCCUGAAAACUCCCCCGCUUUUACAGAAGCAGAGCCGAGACUUUCCAGGGCCCCCUUCCCAUCUUGAGCCCCUUCCCUUCUCUGCGCCUCCUCCUCCAUCUGAGCCCCUUCUCUUCUCUGCGCCCCCUCCUCCAUCUGAGUCCCUUCCCUUCUCUGAGCCUCCUCCAUCUGACCCCCUCCCCUUCUCUGCACCUCCUC